GUGCUCACUUUGGCAGCCUACAUACUAAAACUGAAAUGAUACAGAGAAGAUUAGCAUGACUCCUAUGCAAGGAUGACACACAAAUUCAUGAAGCAUUUCAUAUUUUU